CCUGAGACCUUCCAUGUAGCUGGUGGGGAGUUGACUAGCUUUGCUUAUGCUCUCAAGUUGAUCCAUACAGUGCCAGAUUAUACCCUAUCAUAAGAGAUAGGGUCCCCUGAACACAAGAAGUCAUCUCCCCUUCUGGGACUGUGAACUCAAGAAAGCAGGAAGUAUGCCUCCCUUAUUCAUCACUGGGUCCCCAGUGCUUAGAACAGUGCCUGGCACAGAGACGGGGCUCUGUAAAGAUCUGCUGAAUGAACACUUUAUCCUCUUACUUCUUAUCCUUCAAGCCUCAGAUGUUCCCCCAGGAUGCCUUCUUCGUUUCCCCAGACUAGUUCAAGCUGCACCUCCGACGUGCUCCCACAGCCCCUGAGCUGCCUCCCUGCAGACGCCAUACCUGCCGUGGCUGCUUGUUUGCUGAGUAGCCUCUCCCACUGAACCCUGGGCAACUUGAGGUCAGGGACCAUGCUGUUUACUGUUACAGUGAAUUAAAAUGUCUAAAACGGUGUCUGACCACUAGCACAUACUUAACAAAUAAUUUUUAUAAGUGAAUAAACAUUCUCCUCUUUUUUCUUCAAUUCCCUUCUCUAUUUUGGUUAGUAAAACUAUAUGCAUGCUUAUACAUUUAGACCGUACUUCAAAAGUAUCUGAGAUAGCCACAUAUACAUACACACACGUAUAUAUAGCAUAAUGUUUAAUCUAAUAUAUAGAAAUGAGAGCACUGACAGGAAAAAGAGGGAACUGAGAACUGAAAAAAUAUACAUUGGUUUUUUUUUUUUUUUUUUGAGACGGA
rnacentral:lncRNA from 10 species